rnacentral:rRNA from 1 species
AACGAACGCUGGCGGCAGGCCUAACACAUGCAAGUCGAACGCCCUAGCAAUAGGGAGUGGCAGACGGGUGAGUAACGCGUGGGAACCUUCCCAUUGGUACGGAAUAGCCCAGGGAAACUUGGAAUAAUACCGUAUAAGCCCGAAAGGGGAAAGAUUUAUCGCACGAUGGAGGGGCCCGCGUAGGAUUAGCUAGUUGGUGAGGUAAUGGCUCACCAAGGCGACGAUCCUUAGCUGGUCUGAGAGGACGAUCAGCCACACUGGGACUGAGACACGGCCCAGACGCUGACGGGAGGCAGAGGUGGGGAAGAAUGGACAAUGGGCGCAAGCCUGAUCAGGCCAUGCCUCGUGAGUGACGAAGGCCUGAGGGUUGUAAAGCUCUUUUGGCGGGGACGAUAAGGACGGUACCCGCAGAAUAAGCCCCGGCUAACUUCGUGCCAGCCGCCGCGGUAA